CACAAACAGAGACACGUGAUCACUGCCAUUAUUCAAAUGAAGAAGGGAAUUUUGGAGCCCUGAUGACUUUGCAUUUGAUGUCAUUGUUGACACCUAACAGGAUAGAACAAGAACAAACAAAGCCAGCUCAAACACGCAUUGUUUAUAUCCUCCUGGGACCCAGGCAUAGACUUUUCUCCUCUGUAGACAGAGCACAUUAUAUUUUAGCUAUUUCUCGAAGACCAUACAUGUUGGUUUUAAAGAGCACAUGUGCAACAAUAAAGAGCACAUUCAGGGCUUUUCAGAGAUAGCAAAUGACACUGAAUGAUCAAAUUUAGCACUCUUAUGGAAAUAUGAUAAUAUUUUGUAAUCAUCAUUUAAGUAAAUUUGAGUAAUUUUCUAAUUGUUUGUCGUAAAUAAACAUCUCAGGAAAACGUUAUGGGGUUUCAAAUCAGAAUACGACUUUCUGUUACGAAACAGGGCAUCGAUUUCAUACAUGUCCUCUGUAGAAGAAACCAGGACUUAUCAGGCAUUUUGGAACUUUUUUUCAAGUAUGUGCCUAUGUGACAUCAGAAUGGUCAGAAUUCCUUGUACGGGCAUUUCUCCCAGAAGAGUGCGCGCACACGUCGACCAGAGCGAGAGAGCAAGAGCAUGCCCAUCAACACGCUUCGUUCGGGUUUACGGAAGUCAUCGGCACAGGCAAAGUUAACGCUGCACAGGUCACAGGACUUCAUGAAAUCAACAAUGCUCCGCUCACACGGCACGCCUCCAGGCGCUCAGCUGUUUUCGGAAAGACUCGGUACAGAGCUAUGUAGUCUAGCCACUGCAAUUCUGCACAGACACUUGAGGACAUACUACACAUUUAAAAAUAACCCUUGGGAGUGGCUACUGGAAGAAGAAAUUAGACCCAGAGAGGUCUUACAAGGAGCAGCCAC